rnacentral:rRNA from 1 species
UACGUAGGGUGCAAGCGUUGUCCGGAAUUACUGGGCGUAAAGAGCCCGUAGGUGGUUUGUCGCGUCGUCUGUGAAAUCCCGGGGCUUAACUUCGGGCGUGCAGGCGAUACGGGCAUAACUUGAGUGCUGUAGGGGAGACUGGAAUUCCUGGUGUAGCGGUGAAAUGCGCAGAUAUCAGGAGGAACACCGAUGGCGAAGGCAGGUCUCUAGGCAGUUACUGACGCUGAGGAGCGAAAGCAUGGGUAGCGAACAGGAUUAGAUACCCGGGUA